rnacentral:rRNA from 1 species
CAGUAGCCGCGGGAAUACGGAGGGAGCUAGCGUUGUUCGGAAUUACUGGGCGUAAAGCGCGCGUAGGCGGUUACUCAAGUCAGAGGUGAAAGCCCGGGGCUCAACCCCGGAACUGCCUUUGAAACUAGGUGACUAGAAUCUUGGAGAGGUCAGUGGAAUUCCGAGUGUAGAGGUGAAAUUCGUAGAUAUUCGGAGGAACACCAGUGGCGAAGGCGGCUCACUGGUCCAUUACUGACGCUGAGGUGCGAAAGCGUGGGGAGCAAACAGGAUUAGAUACCCCUGUAGUCCCUGUCUCUUAUAC